rnacentral:rRNA from 1 species
CAUAUCAAUAAGCGGAGGAAAAGAAACUAACAAGGAUUCCCUUAGUAACUGCGAGUGAAGAGGGAUGAGCUCAAAUUUAAAAUCUGGCAGUGUUUUGCUGUCCGAGUUGUAAUCUAGAGAAGUGCUGCCCGUGCUGGACCAUGUACAAGUCUCCUGGAAUGGAGCGUCACAGAGGGUGAGAAUCCCGUCUUUGACAUGGACCACCAGUACAUUGUGGUGUGCUCUCAAAGAGUCGAGUUGUUUGGGAAUGCAGCUCUAAAUGGGUGGUAAACUCCAUCUAAAGCUAAAUAUUGGCGAGAGACCGAUAGCGAACAAGUACCGUGAGGGAAAGAUGAAAAGAACUUUGGAAAGAGAGUUAAACAGUAUGUGAAAUUGUUGAAAGGGAAACGCUUAAAGUCAGUCGUGUCGGCCAGGGAUCAACUCAGUUUUCUUUGCUGGGUGUACUUCCUGAUCUGAUGGGCCAACAUCAGUUUUGACUGCUGGAGAAGGAUAGAGGGAAUGUGGCACCUUUGGGUGUGUUAUAGUUCUCUGUCAUAUGCAGUGGUUGGGACUGAGGAAAGCAGCAUGCCGCAAGGCUGGGUCGCUUCGACCACGUUCAUGCUGAGGAUGUUGGCAUAAUGGCUUUAAUCGACCCGUCUUGAAACACGGAC